GCGGGUGUGGCGGAACUGGCAGACGCGCUAGACUUAGGAUCUAGUGUCACAGACGUGGGGGUUCAAGUCCUCUCACCCGCACCA
rnacentral:tRNA from 1 species